UCAUCUAAAGAUCCGUCGGAUGGGGAUAGGCUCGCGUGACAUUAGCUAGACGGCGGGGUAACGCCCCACCGUGGCGACGAUGUCUAGGGGGUCUGAGAGGAAGUUCCCCCACACUGGAACUGAGACACGGUCCAGACUCCUACGGGAGGCAGCAGUGAGGAAUAUUGGUCAAUGGCCGGAAGGCUGAACCAGCCAUGCCGCGUGAAGGUCAGUGCCCUAUGGGCGUUAAACUUCUUUUGUGCGGGAGCAAUAAUGGUCACGUGUGGCCAGACGAGAGUACCGUACGAAUAAGCAUCGGCUAACUCCGUGCCAGCAGCCGCGGUAAUACGGGGGAUGCAAGCGUUAUCCGGAUUUAUUGGGUUUAAAGGGUGCGUAGGCUGUGAGGUAAGUCAGCGGUGAAAUGCCCCCGCUCAACGGGGUGAAGUGCCAUUGAUACUGCCUUGCUGGAAUGCGGAUGCCGUGGGAGGAAUGUGUGGUGUAGCGGUGAAAUGCAUAGAUAUCACACAGAACACCGAUUGCGAAGGCAUCUCACGAAUCCGCGAUUGACGCUGAUGCACGAAAGCGUGGGUAUCAAACAGGAUUAGAUACCCUGGUAGUCCACGCUGUAAACGAUGAUGACUAACCGUCGGCGAUACACAGUCGGG
rnacentral:rRNA from 1 species